rnacentral:rRNA from 1 species
UACGGGGGGGGCAAGCGUUGUUCGGAAUUACUGGGCGUAAAGGGCUCGUAGGUGGCCAACUAAGUCAUACGUGAAAUCCCUCGGCUUAACCGGGGAACUGCGUCUGAUACUGGAUGGCUUGAGUUUGGGAGAGGGACGCGGAAUUCCAGGUGUAGCGGUGAAAUGCGUAGAUAUCAGGAGGAACACCGGUGGCGAAGGCGGGUCUCUGGGCCGAAACUGACGCUGAGGAGCGAAAGCGUGGGGAGCAAACAGG